rnacentral:rRNA from 1 species
UACGGGGGGGGCAAGCGUUGUUCGGAAUUACUGGGCGUAAAGGGCGCGUAGGCGGCCAUUCAAGUGACGGGUGAAAGCCCUCGGCUUAACCGAGGAACUGCCUGUCAGACUGGAUGGCUUGAGACCGGGAGAGGUGAGUGGAAUUCCCAGUGUAGCGGUGAAAUGCGUAGAUAUUGGGAGGAACACCAGUGGCGAAGGCGGCUCACUGGACCGGAACUGACGCUGAGGCGCGAAAGCGUGGGGAGCAAACAGG